rnacentral:rRNA from 1 species
UGGAGCAUGUGGUUUAAUUCGAAGCAACGCGAAGAACCUUACCAGGUCUUGACAUCCCGAUGCUAUUCUAGAGAUAGAAAGUUACUUCGGUACAUCGGUGACAGGUGGUGCAUGGUUGUCGUCAGCUCGUGUCGUGAGAUGUUGGGUUAAGUCCCGCAACGAGCGCAACCCCUAUUGUUAGUUGCCAUCAUUCAGUUGGGCACUCUAGCGAGACUGCCGGUAAUAAACCGGAGGAAGGUGGGGAUGACGUCAAAUCAUCAUGCCCCUUAUGACCUGGGCUACACACGUGCUACAAUGGUUGGUACAACGAGUUGCGAGUCGGUGACGGCGAGCUAAUCUCUUAAAGCCAAUCUCAGUUCGGAUUGUAGGCUGCAACUCGCCUACAUGAAGUCGGAAUCGCUAGUAAUCGCGGAUCAGCACGCCGCGGUCGAAUACGUUCCCGGGCCUU